rnacentral:rRNA from 1 species
UACGGAGGGUGCAAGCGUUGCUCGGAAUUAUUGGGCGUAAAGGGUAGGUAGGUGGUCUCAUUUGUCUGGGGUGAAAGCCUUGAGCUUAACUCAAGAAGUGCCCCAGAAACGGUGAGACUAGAGUCUUGGAGAGGGUCGUGGAAUUCCCGGUGUAGUGGUGAAAUGCGUAGAUAUCGGGAGGAACACCAGUGGCGAAGGCGACUACCUGGCCUGUUCUUGACGCUGAGGCGCGAAAGCUAGGGGAGCAAACGGG